rnacentral:rRNA from 1 species
GAUGAACGCUGGCGGCGUGCCUAAUACAUACAAGUCGAGCGAACAGACGAGGAGCUUGCUCCUCUGACGUUAGCGGCGGACGGGUGAGUAGCACGUGGAUAACCUACCUAUAAGACUGGGAUAACUUCGGGAAACCGGAGCUAAUACCGGAUAAUAUAUUGAACCGCAUGGUUCAAUAGUGAAAGACGGUUUUGCUGUCACUUAUAGAUGGAUCCGCGCCGCAUUAGCUAGUUGGUAAGGUAACGGCUUACCAAGGCAACGAUGCGUAGCCGACCUGAGAGGGUGAUCGGCCACACUGGAACUGAGACACGGUCCAGACUCCUACGGGAGGCAGCAGUAGGGAAUCUUCCGCAAUGGGCGAAAGCCUGACGGAGCAACGCCGCGUGAGUGAUGAAGGUCUUCGGAUCGUAAAACUCUGUUAUUAGGGAAGAACAAAUGUGUAAGUAACUAUGCACGUCUUGACGGUACCUAAUCAGAAAGCCACGGCUAACUACGUG